UGACAGUUGUUGCCUCAAUUCUAGGCUAGAAUUACAUGUGCUUAGUUUCAACAAAAUUUCUUAGAAUUUAUUAGGGAAUAUUUCCAUAAGAACUGUGCAUCACACAUUGUUUAUUUUGUGUGAUGCAUAGUCCUUAUGGAACUAUGUAUUUAUAUUUACCUAUAUUUAUAGGUUGUUAAAAAUUAAAACUUUGUUUCAUUUUAACUCAAAGGAUUCAGAAGGGUCAGAAGUUUACAUAGGAGGAAAAAAAAACUAUACUGGAAUUAUCACUUUUCCUGAUUUCAAGAUUCCAUCUAAUCAUAUGGAACAUGGACAAUUAAAGCUAAAUACAAAGAAGACUUCACAACAACAGGAACUGCGUAUUUUGAAAUUAAAAGUCAUGAUUUACUCUCGGUGAGACCACACUUCUCUAUCUUAGUAGACCCAGAAAAUUACCUCAUUAACCAUGAAAACUUUGAGGACUUCAAGAUUACUAUAAAAGCUAG